GCUCAUUAAAUCAGUUAUCGUUUAUUUGAUAGCACCUUACUACUUGGAUAACCGUGGUAAUUCUAGAGCUAAUACAUGCUGAAAAUCCCGACUUCGGAAGGGAUGUAUUUAUUAGAUUAAAAACCAAUGCCCUCCGGGGCUCACUGGUGAUUCAUGAUAACUUCUCGAAUCGCAUGGCCUUGCGCCGGCGAUGGUUCAUUCAAAUUUCUGCCCUAUCAACUUUCGACUGCUGGGUCUUGGCCAGCAAUGGUGACAACGGGUAACGGAGGGUUAGGGCUCGACCCCGGAGAAGGAGCCUGAGAAACGGCUACUACAUCCAAGGAAGGCAGCAGGCGCGCAAAUUACCCAAUCCCGACACGGGGAGGUAGUGACAAUAAAUACUGAUACAGGGCUCUUUUGGGUCUUGUAAUUGGAAUGAGUACAAUUUAAAUCCCUUAACGAGGAACAAUUGGAGGGCAAGUCUGGUGCCAGCAGCCGCGGUAAUUCCAGCUCCAAUAGCGUAUAUUAAAGUUGUUGCAGUUAAAAAGCUCGUAGUUGAACCUUGGGCCUGGCCGGCCGGUCCGCCUCACCGCGUGCACUGGUUCGGCCGGGCCUUUUCCUCUGGCGAGCCCCAUGCCCUUCACUGGGCGUGCGGGGGAACCAGGACUUUUACUUUGAAAAAAUUAGAGUGUUCAAAGCAGGCCUAUGCUCGAAUACAUUAGCAUGGAAUAAUAGAAUAGGACGUGCGGUUCUAUUUUGUUGGUUUCUAGGACCGCCGUAAUGAUUAAUAGGGACAGUCGGGGGCAUCAGUAUUCAAUUGUCAGAGGUGAAAUUCUUGGAUUUAUUGAAGACUAACUACUGCGAAAGCAUUUGCCAAGGAUGUUUUCAUUAAUCAGGAACGAAAGUUAGGGGAUCGAAGACGAUCAGAUACCGUCGUAGUCUUAACCAUAAACUAUGCCGACUAGGGAUCGGACGAUGUUAUUUUUUGACUCGUUCGGCACCUUACACGAAAGUACAAGUU
rnacentral:rRNA from 2 species